CCGUUUUUUCAUUUUCUGAGACCGGAAGUAGUCAUCAGGAAGAGCCGAACAUAGAAUGUCUCUUUAUAUACCGUUAGCUUGUGUUCACCAGUUUUCUACCUUCAGCUGAUUCUACCAGCAGACACCGAAAGGACUCUGAUUGUUCGGUCCCUCUCUAUCUCCCCACACAUCCACCAACCACUGGAACACAUCUCCAAAGUUCUGCUGGGCCAGCUCAGCUUCCCCUCAGAAGAAGUGCUGCCAGAUGAAGGAGCCUUUUGAGAGGCAGCUGGCAUCGUGAUUGGACUGUACUUUGGUCUGUUCCAAUCCAGCUUCAGCUCCAGAGACGGCAGGCGGGACGAGUCAACGGAGGCCUGGUGGACGAAGGCAUGCAGCUGAGUACAAUCCAGAAAACAACAGAGGAGGAGUGCAGGGCCAGAACAACCAGAGUAGCAUCACCAAAGAACUACAGACUCUUCACAACCUGCUCAAACUCUUGGUACAGGACCUCACCACACGGGUCAAGAAGGUUUCCUUCUCCUCAUUUCUACUCUGAAGCUCACCUUCUCCUGCUCAAACUGCUGACAAAUGUUUCUGCUG
ensembl:lncRNA